GGGAGGAUCCAAGCCCAAGACACCGUCAGGUUGGGAAUUUGGCUGGGGCGGCACAUCUGUCAAAUGAUGACGCAGGUGUCCUAAGGUGAGCUCAAUGCGAACAGAAAUCUCAUGUAGAACAAAAGGGUAAAAGCUCACUUGAUUUUGAUUUUCAGCAUGAAUACAAACUGUGAAAGCAUG
rnacentral:rRNA from 1 species